rnacentral:other from 1 species
UAUACCCUGCGAUGUUCGUUGCGGCUUUUCGUUGUUUUGAACCAAUGGCUGUUUCACGGGAGACCUAAAUUGCAUUGCGGCUGACAUGCCCCCGAAAGGGGAUCUCAAAGGCAUUGUUGCGGACACCCACCUGCUUAGAGCAGGGUUCAGAAACAUGUAAGUCGGACGGCAUAGGCGGGUCUUAU